rnacentral:RNase_P_RNA from 1 species
GAAGUCGGCUGGACAGUCGCGGUAUCUCCACUUUCGUUUUUACGGAAGGGGCGAUACGGAGGAAAGUCCGGGCUCCAUAGGGCAGAGUGCCAGGUAAUACCUGGGGGGCGUGAGCCUACGGAAAGUGCAACAGAAAAUACACCGCCGAUGGCCUUCGGUUUUCGAACCGGGGCACAGGUAAGGUUGAAAUGGUGCGGUAAGAGCGCACCGCGCUGUUGGUAACAACAGUGGCAGGGAAAACCCCACUCGGAGCAAGACCAAAUAGGGGAACAUUGGCGCGGCCCGCGUUGUUCCCGGGUAGGUUGCUUGAGCGACGCGGUGACGCGUUCGCCAGAUGAAUGACUGUUCACGACAGAACCCGGCUUACAGGCCGACUUCCAAC